rnacentral:lncRNA from 1 species
GUCUGAAAGAAGCCAUUUGUAUGCAAAAACAUGACAGAUACGGCGGCAAAAGUUUAUAAUGGAAAAGAUUUUUUUACCGACGAAGCACCAACUGGCAUACAUGUAGCUCUUGGGGUCAAUGACCUACACAAGCCCCCGACUAAGACAAUGUUAGUGAUCCACCAAUAGGGGGUCAUGUUUCGAAGAUAAGAUUAGACACCC